rnacentral:rRNA from 1 species
UACCAGCCCCCUGAGUGAUAGGGACGAUUAUUUAGCCUAAAGCGUCCGUAGCCGGUUUAGUAAGUCUUUCGUAAAACCCAGUGACUUAAUCACUAGUCUGCGGAAAAUACUGCUAGACUCGAGGGCGGGAGAAGUUGACGGUAUUCCAGGAGUAGGGGUGAAAUCCUGUAAUCCCUGGAGGACCACCAGUGGCGAAGGCGGUCAACUAGAACGCGCCUGACGGUGAUGGACGAAAGCUGGGGGAGCGAACCGGAUUAGACACCCGGGUAGUCCCAGCCGUAAACGAUGCGAGCUAGGUGUUGGUGCAGCCACGAGCUGUUCCAGUGCCGCAGAGAAGUUGUUAAGCUCGCCGCUUGGGAAGUACGGCCGCAAGGCUGAAACUUAAAGGAAUUGGCGGGGGAGCACCACAAGGGGUGAAGCCUGCGGUUC